UACAGAGGUCUCAAGCGUUGUUCGGAUUCAUUGGGCGUAAAGGGUGCGUAGGCGGCGCGGUAAGUCGGGUGUGAAAUCUCGGGCUUAACUCCGAAACUGCAUUCGAUACUGCCGUGCUUGAGGACUGGAGAGGAGACUGGAAUUUACGGUGUAGCGGUGAAAUGCGUAGAUAUCGUAAGGAAGACCAGUGGCGAAGGCGGGUCUCGUGGACAGUUCCUGACGCUGAGGCACGAAGGCCAGGGGAGCAAACGGG
rnacentral:rRNA from 1 species